GUAGGUGGCAAGCGUUGUCCGGAAUUAUUGGGCGUAAAGCGCGCGCAGGGCGGUUCUUUAAGUCUGAUGUGAAAGCCCACGGCUCAACCGUGGAGGGUCAUUGGAAACUGGAGAACUUGAGUACAGAAGAGGAAAGCGGAAUUCCACGUGUAGCGGUGAAAUGCGUAGAGAUGUGGAGGAACACCAGUGGCGAAGGCGGCUUUCUGGUCUGUAACUGACGCUGAGGCGCGAAAGCGUGGGGAGCAAACAGGAUUAGAUACCCCGGUAGUCCACGCCGUAAACGAUGAGUGCUAAGUGUUAGGGGGUUUCCGCCCCUUAGUGCUGCAGCUAACGCAUUAAGCACUCCGCCUGGGGAGUACGACCGCAAAGGUUA
rnacentral:rRNA from 1 species